AAAAGCAGAUGGAAGGCAGACACCAAAACAGAAGCCUAACACAGCCCUUCUGCUUGUUCCUUAAGGUCCUCCACUUCAGCAUGAUGCUGCCAAAAAAAAUGAGGCCACUGCUGUUCCUGGUUUCCCAGAUGGCCAUCUUUGCUCUAUUAUUCCAUCUAUAUGGCCACAACUUCAACUCCCUGUCCACGAAGGAGGAGCCCAAGCCCAUGCAUGUGCUGGUCCUGUCUUCCUGGCGCUCUGGCUCCUCUUUUGUGGGACAGCUUUUUGGGCAGCACCCGGAUGUCUUCUACCUGAUGGAACCUGCCUGGCACAUCUGGAUGACCUUCACAGAGAGCACUGCCUGGAGGCUGCAUAUGGCGGCCAGGGAUCUGAUACGUGCCAUUUUUCUGUGUGACAUGAGUGUCUUUGAUGCCUACAUGAAACCUGGUCCUCGGAGACAGUCCAGUCUCUUCCAGUGGGAGGGCAGCCGGGCCCUGUGUUCCCCGCCUGCCUGCAAUGUGUUCUCGCGGGAUAUGAUCAUACCUCAGGCUCACUGCAAACUUCUGUGCAGUAAACAGCCUUUUGAGGUGGUAGAGAAGGCCUGUCGCUCCUAUAGCCACGUGGUGCUCAAGGAGGUGCGCUUCUUCAAUCUGCAAGUGCUCUACCCACUGCUGAGAGACCCUUCCCUCAAUCUGCACAUCGUGCACCUGGUGCGGGACCCCCGGGCAGUGUUCCGUUCUCGAGAACACACCACAGAGGAACUCAUGACUGACAGCCGCAUUGUGAUGGGGCAGCAGGGGGAGAAACUCAAGAAGGAGGACCAGCCCUACUAUGUGAUGCAGGUCAUCUGCCAAAGCCAGAUGGAGAUCUACAAGGCUGUGCAGUCCUUGCCCACAGCUCUGAGGCAACGCUACAUGCUCAUACGCUAUGAGGACCUGGUCCGGGACCCCCUUGGCCGUACUGACCAAAUGUAUAAAUUUGUGGGGUUGAAAUUCUUGCCCCAGCUCCAGACCUGGGUGUACAACAGCACUCGAGGCAAGGGCAUGGGUAGUCAUGCCUUCCACACUAAUGCCAGGAAUGCCCUCAACGUCUCUCAGGCCUGGCGCUGGACCUUGCCUUAUGCAAAGGUUUCUCAACUUCAAAAAGUCUGCAAUGAUACCAUGACUUUGCUGGGCUACCACCUUGUCAGAUCUGAGCAAGAGCAGAGAAACCUGUCACUGGAUCUUCUGUCUACCUAGACCCCUUCCAAGUAAGUCUGCCAAGAGGGCUGAGGAGACUCUGUCCCCACUUGGCACCAGCCUCAGCCACAUUAACUGAAGUCUUCUGAGCCUUAAUUACAUUU
rnacentral:lncRNA from 1 species